rnacentral:tRNA from 1 species
AGACAACAAAAUGUUUAAUAUUAUUAUUUUGUCACCUUAGGUCGAUCGGUAACUCACGUUCUUAAUUUAUUAAGAAUUUCAUUUCCUAAGUUUUUCUAGGUCACACCCAUUAUUUUCCUGGGCCAUUAGCUCAGGUGGUUAGAGCGCACCCCUGAUAAGGGUGAGGUCCCUGGUUCAAGUCCAGGAUGGCCCAUAUCUCUAUGUUGGGGGUAUAGCUCAGUUGGUAGAGCGCCUGCUUUGCAAGCAGGAUGUCAGCGGUUCGAGUCCGCUUACCUCCACUGAUUACCACCUCUACCAUAAUUUGUAGAAAGGAAUGUUUUGAGUUGUGAUCAAAUUCUGAACGAAUCUAGCUUCCUAAUGAAAUCAUUAAGAUGCUGGACUCAUUGAAUUAAUUUCAUUGUUUUCAGAGAACCUUGACAACUGCAUAGAUUAUUUUUAAAGACAAUAAGCAUCUUUAAUGAUGCAGAUUUAUUAUUUGUGCGAAUGCAUUAAUAACAAUUCUAUUAAGCUGAUGCUUCAAUUUUGAAGUUAUU